CGGUGUUCAACUGGCGUGUCCGCGGGACGUCCUGCCGGUGGGCUUAGCCCGCAAGGGCGGCCCCAACUUCAAAUCCCAUCGCGGUGCUCUUCACUGAGUGUCGAGGUGGGCCGGCACGUUUACUUUGAACAAAUUAGAGUGCUUAAAGCAGGCUAAAACUUCGCCUGAAUACUGUGUGCAUGGAAUAAUGGAAUAGGACCUCGGUUCUAUUUUGUUGGUUUUCGGAACCCCGAGGUAAUGAUUAAUAGGAACGGAUGGGGGCAUUCGUAUUGCGACGUUAGAGGUGAAAUUCUUGGAUCGUCGCAAGACGGACAGAAGCGAAAGCAUUUGCCAAAAACGCUUUCAUUGAUCAAGAACGAAAGUUAGAGGUUCGAAGGCGAUCAGAUACCGCCCUAGUUCUAACCAUAAACGAUGCCAGCUAGCGAUCCGUCGACGUUCCUCCGAUGACUCGACGGGCAGCUUCCGGGAAACCAAAGCUUUUGGGUUCCGGGGGAAGUAUGGUUGCAAAGCUGAAACUUAAAGGAAUUGACGGAAGGGCACCACCAGGAGUGGAGCCUGCGGCUUAAUUUGACUCAACACGGGAAACCUCACCAGGCCCGGACACCGGAAGGAUUGACAGAUUGAGAGCUCUUUCUUGAUUCGGUGGGUGGUGGUGCAUGGCCGUUCUUAGUUGGUGGAGCGAUUUGUCUGGUUAAUUCCGAUAACGAACGAGACUCUAGCCUGCUAACUAGGCGUAUUUUCGACAUCUCAAAGGUCCGUCGUCCCGGCCCUCGGGUCGUGGGCGUGCGCGAUUUUUACUGUCGGCGUACUAUCAAUUCUUCUUAGAGGGACAGGUGGCUUCUAGCCGCACGAGAUUGAGCAAUAACAGGUCUGUGAUG
rnacentral:rRNA from 1 species